AAAGGGAGACCUAAUUCAGGUAGGAGACGAAAAAAAGUAGUCCCUACCAAGAAUCAAUCCCAAAAGGUCGGAGCGAGGCAAAAUUGGCUUUCAAACUAGGUUCUGGGUUCACAUAAGACCUGAAUCAGGAACAAGGGCUAUUAGCUCAGGUGGUUAGAGCGCACCCCUGAUAAGGGUGAGGUCCCUGGUUCGAGUCCAGGAUGGCCCACCUGCACAGGUGGCAAAAACAAGAGAAGCGAGGAAUCAGCACCUUAUCUUACUUAUAUAGUAAGAGAGAAUGCUGGCUCUGAGUAAAGAGUCCAGAGGAACCUUGAAAACUGCAUAGAGCUAGGUGAAAAAGCCAAAAAAGAAGACCGCAAG
rnacentral:tRNA from 1 species